UACGUAGGGGGCAAGCGUUGUCCGGAUUUACUGGGCGUAAAGAGCGUGUAGGCGGCCAAGCAGGUCCGUUGUGAAAACUGGAGGCUUAACCUCCAGACGUCGACGGAAACCGCGCGGCUAGAGUCCGGAAGAGGAGAGUGGAAUUCCUGGUGUGAGCGGUGAAAUGCGCAGAUAUCAGGAAGAACACCAAUGGCGAAGGCAGCUCUCUGGGAACGG
rnacentral:rRNA from 1 species